GUGCGGGCUCUCCCGCACGCGAGAGCGGAGAACCGCGGUUAGAAAGCCUUCGCGCCGAGGUCGGAGCCAGUGCCUCGCCCGUGCAUGCCAUCAUCCGGGUGUCGAUGCGGCCGCUGCACGACACGCGCACGGUUCGCGGAGUAUGCACGGUGUCCGGAGUGUGCUGCUGGCAGUGUCGGGAGUCUGACCGAGCCCAGGUACGGUUCAGGCCAGCGACCAGCGUUGCACCAGUCGCUAUCCGGCCGCGCGUCAUCCCGUCGAAUCUGCCCGCUCGCUCGUACGAGCGAGCGUACGCGCGCGUGCUCCGUGCAGGUGAACCGUCGUGGUCGAGAUUCUGAUUGAGAUUCGGAAUUCCUCGGAGAGGACGUGCGCGAGAGGCGGUGAUCCCGCCUCCGAGGAGAAGAGAGCAGAGCGAGAGGAAGUGGACGCUGGAAGAGGAGAAAAA